rnacentral:rRNA from 1 species
AACGAACGCUGGCGGCAUGCCUAACGCAUGCAAGUCGAACGAGAUCUUCGGGUCUAGUGGCGCACGGGUGCGUAACGCGUGGGAAUCUGCCCUUUGGUUCGGAAUAACAGUUGGAAACGACUGCUAAUACCGGAUGAUGACGAAAGUCCAAAGAUUUAUCGCCAGAGGAUGAGCCCACGUAGGAUUAGCUAGUUGGUGUGGUAAAGGCGCACCAAGGCGACGAUCCUUAGCUGGUCUGAGAGGAUGAUCAGCCACACUGGGACUGAGACACGGCCCAGACUCCUACGGGAGGCAGCAGUGGGGAAUAUUGGACAAUGGGCGAAAGCCUGAUCCAGCAAUGCCGCGUGAGUGAUGAAGGCCUAGGGUUGUAAAGCUCUUUUACCCGGGAUGAUAAUGACAGUACCGGGAGAAUAAGCUCCGGCUAACUCCGUGCCAGCCGCCGCCGUAA